rnacentral:rRNA from 1 species
UACGAAGGGUGCAAGCGUUACUCGGAAUUACUGGGCGUAAAGCGUGCGUAGGUGGUUAGUUAAGUCUGAUGUGAAAGCCCUGGGCUCAACCUGGGAAUGGCAUUGGAUACUGGAGAUCUAGAGUGCGGUAGAGGGCAGUGGAAUUCCCGGUGUAGCAGUGAAAUGCGUAGAGAUCGGGAGGAACAUCUGUGGCGAAGGCGACUGCCUGGACCAGCACUGACACUGAGGCACGAAAGCGUGGGGAGCAAACAGG